ACAGGAGUAAGGAGACGCUCCCAGAGUUAGCUGGGUGAGAGUUUCCCUUAGAGCAAAUGUGAGCCAUGUGGGAGCCUGAGCCAGGCAGGAGUCAUUUAAAAUCCUUCCCAAGAUUGCUGCCUGGGGGAGAGACAGGGGACGGCAGAGAAAGGAGGUGGCUCGCAGGGAAAACGUAAAAAUUAAUUGAAAUGGAAAAAAGAAGAAUGCAGAAACUGGAGCCAACCAUCUAUUUUACAUAAGCUUUGUGUAAAAGAAAGUGAAGACUAAGAAUCCAUCUGGAGAUGCUAAAGAAAGACCAAUUUUUUAGCAGCUGUAAGAGAAACUUUGCUUCAAAUGAGAGAGUCCCUUCAAAAUGGUCACCUUGGAAAGUGUGAGCCCUGCAGAAGUGUUAUGGAUGACUGCAAGAGCUGCUAGUGGAGGUCUGUAACAUGGAAGAUGCUCUUCCUUUGAUCUGAGCCUUGAGGAUAACUGAUGCUCAGGGACAAUGCUUUUACCUCCUGAAGAGCAUCCUCAGAGUCUGGUCCACAGUCCACGGAGUGAGGUUGAGGACCCAAAAAGGUAGCCUCAUUCUUGAUUUUGGCUGUCAAGAGGAUUUUAAAAACUGAGGUUGAAAAGGAGUUGGUAAUUGGCUCAGGAGUUCAUGGACGCAAACCCUUGACUGGAGCCCAUGAUGUCACCUGGAGAGAGAGACAAAAAGGCUUUUACAUCAAAUAUUGAUAACGAUAAUAAUGAUUAACACAUGUGGAGCACUUACCAUCUCUCAAGCACUGCUCUAGAGCUUUCCAUGAAAGAAUCCCUCUAAUCUUCAGAACAAUCCUGUGAGAACUGGCUGAAGUUUACUUUUUGGUACUCCAGAGACCUAGCUUCUUCUUGCCUUCUUCCAAUGUGGUCUAUUUAAUCUCCUGUCGUGUGGGAAAUUAUGUUCAAAAUCUCCGUGAUCCUCUGUCCAUAGAGCUGCUGCCAAAUCAACACCUCGAUAUGUUUGUUCUUGGAGAGAAAUGAGCUAAGGAGGAAGACCGUCUAAAAAUACCACUGGACAAUUUGUACUCACUGGAGUGGUCUCUAUGGGGCAAAAGGUUUUUAGAGUGGCUCGUGGAUUUUCUGGCAAGUGGCAAACCAUACAAGAGCUACGUCAGGCCAGGAAGACAGGUACAGCCCUGUCGGUGUCAAAGAAGAACACCGGUAGCAGAAGAGCUAAGAGUGAAUGAAAAUGGAAUUAUCUUUACUUCUAGGACUUGUCUAUUGAGAAACAGCAGCGCUGGCAACCAUUUACUACCAACAAGAGGCAGUUGCAAGAGAAGAAUAUAAAAUAUGCUCUGCUCAACCCCACAAAACUCAGAGUGUCUCACAAUGGCCAAUUUAUUAUUUUUACCCUGUCCAGUGACAUGGAAGGAUGCAUCAGGGAGCUGCUAGCCUCUGCGAUGAAUAACUUAAGUCAGGCUGCAACAUGUGAAAUAAUUCAGCUGACCAGGAUUUAUAACACUAGCUAGAUUUUUUGCUUUCUUUGGGGUUCAUGAAGCAUGGUGUUGUGAGAUACCACAGGAGUCCCGGAGUAAAGUUACAUACCUAUUGCUCUUCCUUAUUUUUAUUUUUUGGUAUUUUCAUAUUAUUUUAUUGCCUAGUCCAAAUGUCUUCCUAAGCAGGGUCCAGCCUCCUAGGGGACACGUCUCUUCUGACUUUGAAAAUUAGAACCACAGACAGAUAAGACUUCUAAAUACUCUGUUUUUAUACCCUCUUCUUCACAUACCUAGUCCCAGGUGGUUUUGACUCCCUGAUGCUGUGUUGAUUGUGUUGGCCUUCAAUUUAUUUUGCUCAAUUAUUUAUGUGCAUCUGCCCAAAUAAGAGGUGUGGCAAUGCAGUGGCAUGCUUACAAUUCAGCCCAUCUCACUCCCUGGUUCAUAUGUCAGUUUGCAGGAUGGCUUGCUAGAUUUGCAAAGGGGUGUGGGGGACAGUUUCCAUCUGCUGCCAUUGCAAAACACAUCUUUCAGGGGCUACCUGGCAGGGCUGUUUUCUUUCCAGGUAAGGUUCAGGGACAUUUCCAUGCACUGAGUAGAGUCUGGAUCUUUGUUUUCCAGGUGCCUCAGAAGACUAGGACAUGGGGCAAUUGCAAAUCCUGGUCUUUGUACAUUACAUAGAACUUAGGGUAGGAAGGGACUUCAGAAGAUCAUCAGGUCAAAUUUCCCACUUCCUUGGAAUUCUCAUUUUUUAGAGGACCAAUGGUUGGCAACAUCCCUUUUUUGUGUUGUCAUUUGGAAAUUGUGUUAAAAGCCAUUCUUUCACAGUUGCUCUGUGGUCCUUCCAAUUUUCACUUUAACUGGGAAAUUUUAAUGAGAUCCUUCAAGCAAUUAAAAGAGUAGAAAAAAUACUCACAGAAGCAGAAUUUGGAGGGUAGCUAUGGCUUUUCUCUGUUGACAAACCCCCUUUUGACUUCUUGACAUCACUGAAUCAAGUCUUAGUGUCUUGAGAGGUUACUGCCUGAAUACAGGUUAAAUAUGUUAAUAUUCACUGAUUGGAGGAAAGUACCAUGAGCAAAUCUAAUGCAGGAUCCUGGAAUGCUGAGGGCAUUAGUGGCUCCAUAAAAUGUAAAUGCAUUCUUAAUUAUCUCAAGUCACUGCACGCCCAAGUAGCUCUUUUGUAAGAAAAACACAGCUUACUGAUAAUGAGCAUGAAAAUUACUAAGAGAUUGGUGGAGUAAAUCUCUUAAACCUCCUUUCUUUUCUUUUCUUUUUUUCUUCUCCAAAUUUUGAUGUGACUUCGCUAAUUUGAGUAUGUGUCUCUUUUUAGAUUCUACAGAUAACCUUAGGGCCCCACAAGGCAUUUUGGGUGAUUGAAAUAAUAGCAGUUUGUACCUUACGGGAACCUCUAAAGAUGAUGAUGAUUAUUAUUAUUAUCAUGACUGAUUUUAUUGAAUCUAUGAGGCUUAUGAGGUCUUAAGUUCAAGAUCAGCCUGGCCAACAUGGUGAAACCCUGUCUCUACUAAAAACACAAAAAUUAGCUGGGCAUGGUAGUGGGCCCCUGUAAUCCCAGCUACUCAGGAGGCUGAGGCGGGAGAAUCACUUGAUCCUGGGAGGUGGAGGUUGCAGUGAGCUGAGAUUGCACCAGCCUGGGUAAUGGCCUGGGCAACAGACAAAAAAAAAAAAAAAAAAAAAAAAAAAAAGAAAUUCAGGUUGUACCCACUAGUUGCAGAGUGAUUUUAUUUUUAUUUAUUUAUUUUGAGAUGGAGUCUUGCUCUGUCACCUAGGCUGGAGUGGAGUGGCAGGAUCUCGGCUCACUGCAACCUCCACCUCCCGGGUUCAAGCAAUUCUCCUGCCUCAGCCUCCUGAGUAGCUGGGAUUACAGGAGCCCACCACCACACCCAGCUAAUUUUUUGUAUUUUUAGUGGAGAUGGGGUUUCAUCAUGUUGUCCAGGCUGGUCUUGAAUUCUUGACCUCAGGUGAUCCACCCUCCUAGGCCUCCCAAAGUGC
rnacentral:lncRNA from 1 species